UACGAAGGGUGCAAGCGUUAAUCGGAAUUACUGGGCGUAAAGGGUGCGUAGGCGGUUCGUUAAGUCUGUCGUGAAAUCCCCGGGCUCAACCUGGGAAUGGCGAUGGAUACUGGCGAGCUAGAGUGUGUCAGAGGAUGGUGGAAUUCCCGGUGUAGCGGUGAAAUGCGUAGAGAUCGGGAGGAACACCCGUGGCGAAGGCGGUUCUCUGGGACGGUACUGACGCUGAGACGCGAAAGCGUGGGGAGCGAACAGG
rnacentral:rRNA from 1 species